GAUGAACGCUGGCGGCGUGCCUAACACAUGCAAGUCGAGCGGCAGCGAGGGGUGCUUGCACCCUGUCGGCGAGCGGCGGACGGCUGAGUAACGCGUGGGAACGUGCCCCAAAGUGAGGAAUAACUGCCCGAAAGGGUAGCUAAUACCGCAUAUUAUCUUCGGAUCAAAGGAUUUAUCCGCUUUGGGAGCGGCUCGCGUCGGAUUAGGUAGUUGGUGAGGUAAUGGCUCACCAAGCCGACGAUCCGUAGCUGGACUGAGAGGAUGACCAGCCAGACUGGAACUGAGACACGGUCCAGACUCCCACGGGAGGCAGCAGUGAGGAAUCUUCCACAAUGGGCGAAAGCCUGAUGGAGCAACGCCGCGUGCAGGACGAAGGCCUUCGGGUUGUAAACUGCUUUUAUAAGUGAGGAAUAUGACGGUAACUUAUGAAUAAGGAUCGGCUAACUACGUG
rnacentral:rRNA from 1 species